rnacentral:rRNA from 1 species
UACGGAGGGUGCAAACGUUGCUCGGAAUCAUUGGGCGUAAAGCGCGCGUAGGCGGCUACUUAAGUCGGAUGUGAAAGCCCUUGGCUCAACUGAGGAAGUGCACCCGAAACUGAGUGGCUUGAGUACUAAAGAGGGUCGCGGAAUUCCCGGUGUAGAGGUGAAAUUCGUAGAUAUCGGGAGGAACACCGGUGGCGAAGGCGGCGACCUGGGUAGAUACUGACGCUGAGGCGCGAAAGCGUGGGGAGCAAACAGG